rnacentral:rRNA from 1 species
GGUGUGUAAGCGUUGUGAGGCGUUGAGCUAACCAGUACUAAUUGCCCGUGAGGCUUGACCAUAUAACACCCAAACA